UACGAAGGGGGCUAGCGUUGCUCGGAAUCACUGGGCGUAAAGGGUGCGUAGGCGGGUCUUAAGUCAGGGGUGAAAUCCUGGAGCUCAACUCCAGAACUGCCUUUGAUACUGAGGAUCUUGAGUUCGGGAGAGGUGAGUGGAACUGCGAGUGUAGAGGUGAAAAUUCGUAGAUAUUCGCAAGAACACCAGUGGCGAAGGCGGCUCACUGGCCCGGUACUGACGCUGAGGUGCGAAAGCGUGGGGAGCAAC
rnacentral:rRNA from 1 species